rnacentral:rRNA from 1 species
AGAGUUUGAUCAUGGCUCAGGAUGAACGCUAGCGGCAGGCCUAAUACAUGCAAGCCGAACGGUAAGUUGAAUAGCAAUAUUUGACCUAGAGUGGCGCAAGGGUGCGUAACACGUAUGCAAUCUGCCCUCAACAGGAGGAUAGCUCCCCGAAAGGGGAAUUAACACUCCAUAACACAUUCGAUUGGCAUCAAUUGGAUGUUAAAACUACGGUGGUUGAGGAUGAGCAUGCGGAUGAUUAGCUAGUUGGCGGUGUAACGGACCACCAAGGCGAUGAUCAAUAGGGGAACUGAGAGGUUUAUCCCCCACACUGGCACUGAGAUACGGGCCAGACUCCUACGGGAGGCAGCAGUAGGGAAUAUUGGACAAUGGGCGCAAGCCUGAUCCAGCCAUGCCGCGUGCAGGAAGAAGGCCUUCUGGGUCGUAAACUGCUUUUCUCUGGGGAUAAAAAGGCCAUGCGUGGCAAAUUGAAGGUACCAGAGGAAUAAGCCACGGCUAACUACGUGCCAGCAGCCGCGGUAAUACGUAGGUGGCAAGCGUUGUCCGGAUUUAUUGGGUUUAAAGGGUGCGUAGGCGGCCCUGUAAGUCAGUGGUGAAAUACGGCAGCUCAACUGUCGAGGUGCCAUUGAUACUGCGGGGCUUGAGUACUGAUGAGGUAGGCGGAAUUGACGGUGUAGCGGUGAAAUGCUUAGAUAUCGUCAAGAACACCGAUAGCGAAGGCAGCUUACCAAGCAGUAACUGACGCUGAGGCACGAAAGUGCGGGGAUCAAACAGGAUUAGAUACCCUAGUAGUCC